rnacentral:rRNA from 1 species
GUCUACGGCUAUACCACCCUGAAUGUAUCCGAUCUCGUCUGAUCUCGGAAGCUAAACAGAGUUGGGCCUGCUUAGUACUUGGAUGGGAGUCCACCUAGGAAUACUGGGUGUUGUAGGCG